UACGUAGGAUCCAAGCGUUGUCCGGAUUUACUGGGUGUAAAGGGUGCGUAGGCGGUCGGGUAAGUCUGAUGUGAAAUCUCACAGCUUAACUGUGAAACUGCAUUGGAUACUAUCCGGCUAGAGGAAUGGAGGGGAGACUGGAAUACUUGGUGUAGCAGUGAAAUGCGUAGAUAUCAAGUGGAACACCAGUGGCGAAGGCGAGUCUCUGGACAUUUCCUGACGCUGAGGCACGAAAGCCAGGGGAGCAAACGGG
rnacentral:rRNA from 1 species